GACGAACGCUGGCGGCGUGCUUAACACAUGCAAGUCGAGCGAGAAACCCUCUUCGGAGGGGAGUACAGCGGCGAACGGGUGAGUAACACGUGGGCAACCUGCCCCAAGGAGCGGGACAACCCGGGGAAACCCGGGCUAAUACCGCAUGAUCCGCGAUGCCUCAAGGCAUCUCGGGAAAUGGUAGCUUCGGCCUCCGCCUUGGGAUGGGCCCGCGGCGCAUUAGCUUGUUGGUGAGGUAACGGCUCACCAAGGCGACGAUGCGUAGCUGGUCUGAGAGGACGAUCAGCCACACUGGGACUGAGACACGGCCCAGACUCCUACGGGAGGCAGCAGUGGGGAAUAUUGCACAAUGGGCGAAAGCCUGAUCCAGCAACGCCGCGUGAGGGAUGACGGCCUUCGGGUUGUAAACCUCUUUCAGCACAGACGAAGCGAAAGUGACGGUACCUGCAGAAGAAGGACCGGCCAACUACGUGCCAGCAGCCGCGGUAACAC
rnacentral:rRNA from 1 species